GGGAGGGGCCUGGAGGGCGCUGCGCGCUCCCCCCCGGAUCCCGAGUGUCUCCCUCGGGCCCGGCGUCGCGGGGGCUUCGAGUUUGGGGACGGGAAGGAGCUGCAGGGAAGUGUGCGCGCCCUGCUUAGCCCUCUCCGACUUCAGGGAAAGCAGGGCUCGCAGAGGAAAGGGGUGGGGAGCGCGCUCCCUGCGGAAGGAAAAGGCCCGGCCAACGCCGAGGGCACAAAGGGCCCCCGCGCCGCGCCCCGCGGCCCCUCGGACCCCAGGGCGGUCCCAGGCGGCGGCAGAGCGCGCCACGCACCCAUCGCGUGACCUAGUGCGUCCGGGCGCCGUCGCCCGGGGGCCGCUGCAGGGCGCCUGGUCCGGUGACCUCAGGCUGGAGGCCGCGGCCUCCCGGCGCCAAACGGAGACGGCCCCACGGUCCGGUGCGCCGGACACGCCCGCCCUUCGGCCCGCGAGGAAACUGUGACCCGACCCCACCCCCAUCUCCCGCGGCCGCCGUCGCCCCUCGAGCCUCAGCGCGCGGGGCCGUGCGCCCCAGCGGGGUUGGCCGCCACCGGCGCCCCCUCGGCCGCCUGCCUCCACUGCGGGGGAAGCUAUGCUGGGCCCCUUCUGGGAAGCCGCCACCUUCUGGGCCAGGCUUCUACGCAGUCCAUUCAUCAAGAGGUGACAAGCCUCCCUAGUCCCCAUGAGAUAGGACCUCCUUGUAGGUAAUCUUAAGGAACCUACUUUGCUGCUGCCACCAUUUGAUUUGUUUCUCUGGGACGAAUCACAGCACAAUACCUCUUGGUGUGAUUUCAAAUGUGAUCAGCUUUCAGCUAAAUAUUUUUACCCCACUUCUAACACUGUCGGGGAAUCCCAGAUAGCACACAGCGGUAAAUGGCGUGUAUUGUUCCAUAAAUCCUGAGACUUCAAAUAGGAACACUAAGUAGAAAAACAAAACUCUAAAGCAGCGGUUCUCAACCUGUGGGUCGCGACCCCUUUGGGGAUCGAACGACCCUUUCACCGGGGUCGCCUAAGACCAUCGGAAAACACAUAUAUAAUUACAUGUUGUCUUUGUGAUUAAUCACGAUGCUGUCAUUAUGUUCAAUUUGUAACGAUGAAAACACAUCCUGCAUAUCAGAUAUUUACAUGACGAUUCAUAACAGUAGCAACAUUACAGUUAUGAAGUAGCCACGAAAAUAAUUUUAUGGUUGGGGGUCACCACAACAUGAGGAACUGUAUGAAAGGGCCGUGGCGUUAGGAAGGUUGGGAACCGCUGCUCUAAAGCAAUGAAAAGAGGAGCGCGCCUCUUCCCUCCCUCCGGUGGGCACGGGGACCAUUUGGUCGCACAAAGGCAGUUAAGAUGACGGAACGGGGCGUGGCUGCUCUGGCGGCUUCUUUGUCUUGAACGGGUUUGCACGCUGCUGUUCUGAGUUCACACAUUUUACAUCCAUCCCUUCGGACAGUUCCUCAUGGAUCAGACAAUGAAGCUUCCUUUCCUUUAUAUGCGUACCUGUAGGGAUAAAGUAAGUAUAAAGAUCAUCCCUUUCUGAUACUUGGGUACAUUUCGAUUUGAUUUGGGCUUCCGUCGAACACUGGCAAAGAAAGAUGGAGGAUGCACUCUGCCAGCGCGGGGCCCGGUCACCCCAGUCUGUGGAGGCAGACACGAGCCACUGCGAGUCUGUUUUCUGGCCUUCCAUUCCCUUUUCUCCUAAUUCUCUCCACUAAUUCUGGGUGGAAAUGAACCGCCAUUAAACAAAGCUCCCCCUUUGUCAAUGUCCAAAUCCGGGGUGGCAGGAAAAUUAGUGAUAUCAAAAAUGGGGGCGGACAGUGACUAUUAUUUCAAAAGGUAAUUUAGUUAUAUCUAUGCAAAUUUAAGAUGUACAUAUAUGCUUUCUAAAAAAAAUUUUUUUUAAAUUGAUUUCAGAGAACAAGGGAGAGGGAAAGAGAUAGAAACACCAAUGAUGAAGAGAAUCACUGAUCAGUGGCCUCCUGCAUGCCUCCUACUGGGGACUGAGCCUUCAACCUGGGCAUGUGCCCUGCUGGGAAUUGAACCUCGACUUCCUGGUUCAUAGGUCGAUGCUCAACCACUGAGCCACACCAGCCAGGCAAGAUGUACAUAUAUACUUUUAAUCCGGCAAUCCCAUUGCUACAAUUCUACCUAUGGCUAUUAAACUU